AUGAAUGUCCAAGGUGCUCAAUGCCAUGUUUGCACAGUACUGAAUUCUCACCCAGGAGCUGGGCAGCUCUGGGCAAGCUGGCUGGCUGAGAAGAGAGUGGAAGCAAGGUUCAGACCCUUCCAAGCAUCAUGGCUGCUUCAGAGAGGUUUUGGUGUAAGAAGAUGUUUUUUGACCAGGGCCAUGAUGGGGAGGGAAGGGAGAUGUGACAUGGGGCCAUUACUGCUUUCCACCAGUGCGCUAACUGGUAGAUCCAGCAACUGGUAAAUGGCAGAUCCAGCAACUGGUAACUGGUAGAUCCAGCGCUCCCAAAGGUGAGAGAUGGGGCUGGAUCCGACAGUGGAGGUGGACGAGAGCACUUGGUUGGAGCUGCAGGACGUGAGCAUCUGGGGACAAGAGACAGCAGGGAGCUUGGACGUUUGCUUGGGGGGUGCGAGGGUGGUGUGUGAGGGGGUGGUAUGCCUGCAGCUCCUGCCAGUGGCCAUGCUGGAGCAAGCUACGAUUAGGAUUAGACUUGCAAAUCUCCUGAGAAACCCUUGGGAAAGCACACACUGUGAUUCAUAGGGCUUCUCCCUGCAUGCACCACACAGAGGGCAAAUCCGGACCAAAGCCCUCGCCCCUGCUCUGGUAGGGAUGGAUUCUCCAACUGGGAAAUCUGCACCUUCAGCGUCUGGCUCUGCUGCUCAGCCUGGUGUUGCAUCUCAGCACGUCAAAGCUCUUGUCCUUGGGCCUUGUCUUUACUCAGCCUUUGUGCGCUGACUAAAGCUUGUUUUCAUUUUUAUGGGCCCCUAAGUGUGGAUAAUUGAAUUGUGAGUGUGUCCUCCAAAGAAGCACAGAAGAAGGGAAAGGCCUGGUGGAAGAUGUAAAAAAUUGGGUGUUGGUUUCUUAAGAUGGAUCUGACCAUGUAAAUAGGCUUGUGUUGGUUCCCCUCCUUUUUCUUCACCCUGAUUUGGAAUUGGAGACUGACUGCUCUCAGAGUGCUGCUCUCACCAGCCCAGUGCUAACCCAGGGUUAACCUGAACUGAGGGGCUUGGAAGAAUGACUUCGUCUGAAGGCAGUUUGGAGCUCUGCUUUUUCUCCUCUGUGUUUAGGGUGUUCCCGUGUCCCACUUCCAAGCUCUUUUUCUCUUUCAAACUCUAAAGGGAAGAAACGUUAAUUAGGAGUUU
rnacentral:lncRNA from 1 species